rnacentral:antisense_RNA from 1 species
GCUGCUGUCAGUUAUGAUGCACUGAGAAAACUUCAGAGACCUAAGCUUUUUCCAGAGAAGAGAAGCUUUACUGGUGUUCCAGCCCUAAGGCUCAUAUGACAUUAACAGACAAGACACUUUUCAGAAAGACAGAUGGAGUCUCUCUGUCACCUAGACUGGAAUGCAGUGGCAUGAUCUUGGUUCACUGAAACCUCUGCCUUUCUGGUUCAAGCAAUUCUCAUGUUUCAGCCUCCCAAGCAACGUGUUGGACCUUCCUGAGCUUCUCAGAAGACAGAGGAUUUUCUUUUGAG